rnacentral:rRNA from 1 species
CUAGUUGCUUGGUUAAGACACUUUAGUGUUGAAGCCUUAGUGAAAGCGAGCCUGAAUAGGGCGAUUUUGUAACUAGUAAAUGACCCGAAACCGGAGUGAGCUAACCAUGGUCAGGAUGAAGUUAGGCGAAAGCCUGAUGGAGGUCCGCACCGGUGUAUGCUGCAAGAUGCUCGGAUGAACUGUGGUUAGAGGUAAUAUGCCAAUCGAACCCGGAGAUAGCUGGUUCUCCCUGAAAUAUAUUUAGGUAUAGGGUUGCGUGAAGUGUAAUUGGGGGUAGGGCUCUGAUCGGGCGUCUCAUGGGAAACUGUGAGCGUCUAGUCAAACUUCGAAUACCAAAUACAUGUUUCGCAGCACUCAGCACCUGGGAGCUAAGUUCCAGGAGCAAAAGGAAAACAAACCGGACCUACAGCUAAGGUCUCCAAUAAACAUUUAGUGGAAAAGGAAGUUUAAAUUCUAAGACACCUAGGAGGUCGGCUCAGAAGCAGCCAUCCUUUAAAGAAAGCGUAACAGCUCACUAGCCGUAGAAUUUAUGCGCCGAAAAUUAACGAGGCUCAAAUGUUUAACCGAAGCUUAGGAUUCGUUCUAGUUUACUAGAAUGAGUGGUAAGGGAGCGUUCUGUGUGCGAUGAAGGUGACCCGUAAGGAGUUGCUGGAGCGAUCAGAAGUGAGAAUGCUGGCAUAAGUAGCGUCAUUGAAGUGAGAAUCUUCGACUCCGAAUGUCCAAGGUUUCCGCACCCACGUUCGUCGUGUGCGGGUUAGGCGACCCUAAGGCGAGCCUCCGUCUCAGACGGAGGGUACCCGAUGGAUUACUGGUUAAUAUUCCAGUCCUUGAUAAAAGACAUUAUUACUUGGGGAGGGACGAUGAUGGAUAGGGGCAGUGUCAAAGUGAAUUUGACAUUCAAGCAGUGAGACAGUCUUGGCAGGCAAACCCACCAAGGCGUUUAUUCAAGCUGUAAUAAGUCUUUGUUCCUGCGGGAACAUUGAUUGCCUUGACUUCAUUAUCCUGGAAAAGCUUCGCAAGGAGCCUUUUAUCAAAUCGUACCGAUAACCGACACAGGUGGACAGGUCGAGUAGACCAAGGAGAGCGAGAGAAAGUAGUUUAAGGAAUUCGGCAAAAUAGCUGGGCGUAACUUUGGGAGAUGCCCUUCUCUUUCGGGUGUUAAAGCCUGAGAGAGGCACAGCAAAAGACGUAGGGUUGACUGUUUACCAAAAACACAGGUCCGUGCAAACCCGCAAGGGGAAGUAUACGGGCUGAAACCUGCCCAGUGCUGGAAGGUUAAUUGCGAGGGUGCUAGCGCAAGCUAGUGCCUUCAAUCGAAGCCCCAGUGAACGGCAGCAGUAACUAUAACUGUUCUAAGGUAGCGAAGUUCCUUGUCACUUAAUUGGUGACGUGCAUGAACGGCUCAACAAGCCCUACACUGUCUUGAACUACUACUCGGCGAAAUUGAGAUGGCCGUGAAGACGCGGCCUACUAACAUCUGGACAAAAAGACCCCAUGAAGCUUUACUACAACUUGGCACUGGUCUUAUAUAUGGAAUUGUUUAGGAUAGGUGGGAGUUCCUUCAUUUAUUGAUGGGACGUCAGUGAAAUACCACUCGUUUUAUAUGUAAGACCUCACUUAACUUAGAUGCAAACUCUAAGAAGGACACUGUCUGGCGGGUAGUUUAACUGGGGAGGUUGCUUGCUAAAGUGUAACGCAAGCGCGCAAUGGUACUCUUAGCUUGGAUGGAAAUCAAGCUGUACGUGCAAUAGCAUAUGAGUGCUUAACUGUGAGGCAUACAGGCCGAGCAGAUGCGAAAGCAGGUUAUAGUGAUCCUCGUGCACUUUGUGGAAGGUGCCGGGCUUAUCGGAUAAAAGCUACUCUGGGGAUAACAGAGUCAUCGCGCCUAAGCGUCCCUAGCGUCGGCGCGGUUUGCUACCUCGAUGUCGGCUCAUCGCAUCCUGGGGGUGAAGAAGCUCCCAAGGGUUUGUCUGUUCGCCAAUUAAAGCGGUACGCGAGCUGGGUUCAGACCGUCGUGAGACAGGUCGGCCUCUAUCCGAUGUUAGCGUUAGAAAGUUGAGAGAAUUUGUCUCUAGUACGAGAGGACCGAGAUGAGGAAAUCCCUAGUGUUCCUGUUGUUGCUGUCA